UGGAGGAGGCAGCAGAGACUCUGCUCUCCUCGUUUGGAUUAAUUCUGAUAUAAUAACUGUUGGUUUAUUUAUCGGUGGAGCAGCAGAACCUUUUCCACAGACAGUUUUCCUGCCCGUUGGCUUGUUUUAACCAGUUUUCUGCCUUCGGCUGAUUCUACCAGCAGACACUGAAAGGACUCUGAUAGUUCGCUCAGGUGUCUCAUGUUCACUGUGAGGAUCUUCUGAGUGAAGCCAACAGAAGGAAAACCUCAUCUGGUUGUGAAGGAGACUGAAUGGACGACAUCCUCAGUGAGCCACUUCCUGUUUAACUUCCACUUACAGAAGAGUGAAAGUAGCAGUUCCUCCUGAAGAUCAGAGAUUGCAGCAUCUGAGGGCCUCUUCAAAAGAAGACGUAGUUGAUGAAGGCGUUCUGGAGCAGGACCAGAAAGACCACGACCAAGCAGCCUUGAGAUCUUAGGCAGCGUCUCCCUCAGCCACCAACCACUGGAACACAUCUCCAAAGUUCUGCUGGACCAGCUCAGCUUCCCCUCAGAAGAAGUGGCGCCACCUGCCAGAUGAAGGAGCCUUUUGAGAGGCAGCUGGCAUCGUGAUUGGACUGUACUUUGGUCUGUUCCAAUCCAGCUUCAGCUCCAGAGACGGCAGGCGGGACGAGUCAACGGAGGCCGGAUGGACGAAGACAUGCAGCUGAGUACAAUCCAGAAAACAACAGAGGAGGAGUGCAGGGCCCAGAGCCAGAACAACCAGAGUAGCAUCGUAUGUCUCUUAGAAAACAUCAUAGUACAGCCUUUGGUAUGAAAAAACACCAUCAUAUACACUGUAUAUUGUACAAAUAACAAGUCAAAGGAAAGAGACAUACAUUGUAGAAUUGUAGUAAUUGUGGGCUGACUGAUUUACUGAUUAGCAGUAUUUUAUUUUUUACUGAUUUACGGUAAUAAAUACAUUUAAAAAUGGUGCUACUUUGGCUCUGAACCUUUAUCUACCUGUGGUCGCUCUGUCUUCUGGAGUGAUUUGAUUGGUUAUACGUCACGAAUAAAACUCCUUUAACUUAACAUCUGUAAACAAAAC
ensembl:lncRNA